GGUGAACGCUGGCGGCGUGCCUAAGACAUGCAAGUCGAGCGGGGCAGGUUUAUACCUGUUCAGCGGCGGACGGGUGAGUAACGCGUGGGUGACCUACCCGGAAGAGGCGGACAACCUGGGGAAACCCAGGCUAAUCCGCCAUGUGGUCCUGUCCUGUGGGGCAGGACUAAAGGGUGGAUAGCCCGCUUCCGGAUGGGCCCGCGUCCCAUCAGCUAGUUGGUGGGGUAAAGGCCGACCAAGGCGACGACGGGUAGCCGGUCUGAGGGGAUGGCCGGCCACAGGGGCACUGUGGCACGGGCCCCAGGCCUACGGGAGGCAGCAGUGAGGAAGCUUCCGCAAUGGACGGAUGGCUGACGGAGCGACGCCGCUUGGAGGAGGAAGCCAUUCGGGGUGUAAACUCCUGAACUGGGGACGAAAGCCCUGUGUAGGGGGAUGACGGUACCCAGGUAAUAGCGCCGGCCAACUCCGUG
rnacentral:rRNA from 1 species